rnacentral:rRNA from 1 species
UACGUAGGGGGCAAGCGUUGUCCGGAAUCAUUGGGCGUAAAGCGCGCGUAGGCGGCCCGGUAAGUCCGUUGUGAAAGUCAAAGGCUCAACCUUUGAACGCCGAUGGAUACUGCCGGACUAGAGUUCGGAAGAGGCGAGUGGAAUUCCCGGUGUAGCGGUGAAAUGCGCAGAUAUCGGGAGGAACACCUAUGGCGAAGGCAGCUCGCUGGGACGUUACUGACGCUGAGACGCGAAAGCGUGGGGAGCAAACAGG